GGAUCUUCAUCAUCAUGUUCAUUACAGAGCAUAGAAAAAGACUGAUGAGCAACUGAUCUCUUAUCUCCAUUGUUUAUCAAUGUCCAUGUUAUGGGAUCAUACAUGUCUCUGGAAUGGUUAUGUCCAGUUUGGUGAUCUUGAUCCUAUAGUUUUUGACAUUUUUCUCGUUACAUAAAAUCAUGUGACCAUGAAGAUAAAACAAAAACAAAAUAUUUUCCCUUAAAACAAACAGACCAACAGAAAACCCAGCAUACUCAGAAAUUCUAAUGCUGACUUGUUUUGUUGUUUGGUUGUUGUUGGUUUUUUUUUUCUUUUUCUAUCUGUUUCCACUUCCAGCUCAUUUGAAAAAUAAACAAGAGUUGAUGAUCCCAAUUGCCAGUUAUGAAUUUUUUUUCAUAUAAUCUAAAUUUGUCAACAAAAAUUUCAGUUAAAAUAUUAAAGAAAAUUUACAAAUAGACAAUUUAUUUUUACAAAGUGAAGUAAAAGCCUUGAACUUGUAAACCUAUCAUACAUUCUCUUGAAGUAGCAUUGUUUUAUGCCAAGCAAUAGUUGCUUUCUUUCGCUUCAGUCAUUGCUGUCAUGAGCAUACAUAAAAGGAUUCUCUUUUCAACAAUACUGUCAAUAUUAAAACAAAGUCACACAAAUUUUACAGGUAGGCUGCAUA
rnacentral:lncRNA from 1 species